UNUGACUUGAGUGCAGAAGGGGAGAGUGGAAUUCCAUGUGUAGCGGUGAAAUGCGUAGAUAUAUGGAGGAACACCAGUGGCGAAAGCGGCUCUCUGGUCUGUCACUGACGCUGAGGCUCGAAAGCGUGGGUAGCGAACAGGAUUAGAUACCCUGGUAGUCCACGCCGUAAACGAUGAGUGCUAGGUGUUAGGCCCUUUCCGGGGCUUAGUGCCGGAGUUAACGCAAUAAGCACUCCGCCUGGGGAGUACGACCGCAAGGUUGAAACUCAAAGGAAUUGACGGGGGCCCGCACAAGCGGUGGAGCAUGUGGUUUAAUUCGAAGCAACGCGAAGAACCUUACCAGGUCUUGACAUCCCGAUGCUAUUCUUAGAGAUAGGAAGUUACUUCGGUACAUCGGAGACAGGUGGUGCAUGGUUGUCGUCAGCUCGUGUCGUGAGAUGUUGGGUUAAGUCCCGCAACGAGCGCAACCCUUAUUGUUAGUUGCCAUCAUUAAGUUGGGCACUCUAGCGAGACUGCCGGUAAUAAACCGGAGGAAGGUGGGGAUGACGUCAAAUCAUCAUGCCCCUUAUGACCUGGGCUACACACGUGCUACAAUGGUCGGUACGACGAGUUGCGAGCCGGUGACGGCAAGCUAAUCUCUGAAAGCCGAUCUCAGUUCGGAUUGGAGGCUGCAACUCGCCUCCAUGAAGUCGGAAUCGCUAGUAAUCGCGGAUCAGCACGCCGCGGUGAAUACGUUCCCGGGCCUUGUACACACCGCCCGUCACACCACGAGAGUUUGUAACACCCGAAGUCGGUGAGGUAACCUUUUAGGGGCC
rnacentral:rRNA from 1 species